GACGAACGCUGGCGGCGGGCUUAACACAUGCAAGUCGAACGGAAAGGCCAUGCUUUUGUGGGGUGCUCGAGUGGCGAACGGGUGAGUAACACGAGAGUAACCUGCCCUUGACUUUGGGAUAACUUCAGGAAACUGGGGCUAAUACCGGAUAGGAGCUCCUGAUGCAUGGUGGGGGUUGGAAAGUUUCGGCGAUUGGGGAUGGACUCGCGGCUUAGCAGGUUGUUGGUGGGGUAGUGGCUUACCAAGGCUUUGACGGGUAGUCGGCCUGAGAGGGUGACCAGCCUCAUAGGGACUGAGAUACAGCCCAGACUCCUACAGGAGGCAGCAGUGGGGAAUAUUGCACAAUGGGCGGAAGCCUGAUGCAGCAACGCCGCGUGCGGGAUGACGGCCUUCGGGUUGUAAACCGCUUUCGCCUGUGACGAAGCGUGAGUGACGGUAAUGAGUAAAGAAGCACCGGCUAACUACGUG
rnacentral:rRNA from 1 species